UACGUAGGGGCCUAGCGUUGUCCGGAUUUAUUGGGCGUAAAGAGCUCGUAGGCGGUUCGGUAAGUCAGGCGUGAAAGCCCCGGGCUCAACCUGGGAAUGGCGCUUGGGACUGGUUGGCUUGAGUUCGGGAGAGGAGAGUGGAAUUCCCAGUGUAGAGGUGAAAUUCGUAGAUAUUGGGAAGAACACCGGUGGCGAAGACGGCUCUCUGGACCGAGACUGACGCUGAGGCGCGAAAGCGUGGGGAGCAAACAGG
rnacentral:rRNA from 1 species